GGGGGGAGGCCGGAUCCUGGGCUGUGUCCUGGCGCCCUGUGCUCAACGCCUGCGCUGUUGGAUUCGCGCUCCCAGCCAGGAAACCCCCU
rnacentral:pre_miRNA from 1 species